rnacentral:lncRNA from 1 species
GCCGGGUGCCAUUCCCUGCUCCCUGACUUCGGAUGAACUCCUUCUGAUAAGGGUUCAGUAUGGAGUUCCUCCGAAGUAUGACCUGGAGCUGCCUGGCCCCUCCGACCGGGCUAGCGCUCUCCCACCCGAUCGUUUUUGCCUGUAUCAGGAGGCGUUCCGUGCCGGACUCUGACUUUUGCUUCCGCCCUUUAUCGUCGCCCUCUUCCGGUUCUUAGGUAUCUCUUUGGCUUCAGUUGCUCCAAA